AUUGUUUUACAUUCAAGUUAGGUGUAUCUGUAGGGGUAGAUGUAUAUGUAGGGUUAGUGUUAGGUAUACAUUAGGUGGUGGUGGUGGUCAUAUUGAAGCUUACAAGUAUAAGACAGCAACAGCAAGUCCACCUUAGUGAAGGAGCAGUGCUAGACAAUGUUAGAGCCAUUCAAGUUACACAAUUGUGCAUUUAUCAAUAUGAACAAUUCCAUUUUCAACAAAGUCUUUCUUAUGUCAAGAUUCUUUGUAUCCAGAUGUACAUCUUGCCCUCCAUUUUUGCUUGGUCUUUGAGCUCACCUUUCCUUGACAUGUACCUGACUUGGUCCUUCCCUCCAGCCUACUCUAGCCCUACUGCUGGCUGAGAAUGAAAUCCAAAAUUACAACUUGUCAAACUUUGGCAUUUGAUUUCAGUUAUUUAGCUGUACCUUUGAUUUCCUACCCCAGCAACUGGGAGGUGUUCAAUGACCAAGCCUACUUAGUGCCCCAAACAAAAGAAAGGCUCAACUUGUGUUUUUUUUUCAUUGGCCAUUCACAUACUCUUAUACUUGAUGUCUUUUUAAUCUGUAAAUGUCCAAUUGUAUUUAGUGUUAUAAACCAAAUAAUUGUGCCAUUCUUUUGUUGGAUUGAUGGUUAGACUAUUUUUUAAUGAUUUCAUCUGAUGGUUUUAUUAGGCUUUCUAAUGUUUUUGAGCCUAUCAGAGUUAACUGUUAAAGUUCAACUUGUAUGGUAGCCUGUUUGAAUCAAUAUAUACAUUUUUGAAACCAACUUGAUGAAUACUUAGUAGUGAUAGUAGUUCUGUAGAGUAAGUUUUGGCACGAAAGUAAACAUGUUAUUCUAUUUGAAAAUCCUUGCAAUUAGUACUAAGAAAUGUGCCCCAAUUUAGUGUCAAAUACAUUGUAGCAUGUAAAUUAGGAUGCCUUUAAAAUACUUUUUUUUACAAGAGCAGAUAACUGAUUAUUCUAUGUACUCAUGGAAUGUAUUUUUAUUCUAAUCAAAUCAAGCUAUAUAUGAGUAACUCUCAGUAACCAGCCAUAAUCAGUCUGUAACAGAGAACUGAUAUUUUAUGCUGAUGUAGCCAUGUUUCCUAAACUAUUAUAUUAUUAAGUAUUGUGGUUGUUUAUUUCAAAAGAGGAAAUUCUUUUCUAUUCAAGUGUGGGAAGGGCUAUUUUUUCAAUUUGUGUUUGGAGGUUUCUUAUCUUUGUUGUUAGAUGCUUGUUUUUAUUCAUUGAUUUGGACAAUUUGUUCAGUGCCUCAUGAAAUUUCUUUUUAAAUUUCUUUCUCCGGCUGUUGGUUGAAUUGAUUAGGUCUGGAAUGUGCAUACUUUCAACUGUGAAUUAGAAUUUGGAAAUAAUAUGUUGCAAUGUUAGUCACAAAAAUUGAAGUAUUGAGGUAAAAAAUUCUUGGGCAUAACCUUGCGGAUGGAUCUGCUACUAUUAAUAUCCAUUUUCCUCCAUGUUUUUAUCACCACUGACUUGUACUUUAUAUAGUGUAUCAAGUUGCAUAUUUACUUGUAGCUCAAAUAUUGUUUUUUAAAAGAAAAUUUUUAAAAUUUGCAGAGAAUUGUUACUAUGAAUACUUGUCAUAUUCUUCUGAUAUUUUAUUCCAACUUUGUCUAGGGUGAGUUGUCUAUUUACUAUUGUGCUGGUGUAAUGUAUCUUUCCAUCUUGUGGUAACUGUUAGUUUAUUAUGACAAUAUUAUCUCCAUUAUUAUACACUGUUUCUAUACAUGAAUGAUUAUGUUUAUUCUAUUCUGAUGUCAUCUUAGUGUGCUGGUGAAAUAUGAGUGUAUAUAUACAAUUCUUUUUCCAGUGGUACAUGUCUUAUCUCUAUUUUUAUCACCAUGGAACUAAUUUUGUAGCUGUGUUUUGAUUGGAUGAGCCAUGUUGAUGUAUUAACAUUAGUUGUUUUAUUAGCACUAUUGUUUUCUAUCUGUCCCUACAUGGGAACACAUUGAUGCUGCGUGAUUUGAUUGUAUAGCGACAACAAGUUGACCGAGAAAUGCAUUACUUUUCUAUUUAUAACUUUGAUAUUCCAAAAUUACCAAUUAGACUGUUGAUAUAUACACAACACCUGCGCAUGGUGGCGCAUAAUCUGUAACUAUGUUACAUUUUAGAUUUCAUUUUGAUUGAACUCUAUUUUGUUCCCUACAAAGCUUUAUAAGAAAGAGUCCACAAGAAUAUAUUUAUACUGCUUAACAUUUCUUUUCUACAAGUCAGGCCUCACAAAUAUCCUAAUGGAUUGGGUCUACAAAUGUUGGAGCUCGUUUAGUUCUUUGCUUUGCACGUUUGGCUUGAAGGCUUUUUUAUUUAAUUUUUUUUUUCAUGAACAUGAUCAACGCAACGGCAUAAUGUUAAAGAUCUCUUCUCCCCCCCCCCUCCUCUUCAGCUCUUUGUUUCAUUAUACUAAUUAAGUAUUCUAGUUGCUUAAAUAAGUAUUCUAGUUACUUAUAAAAAUGCUAGUUCCUAAUAUUUGAAAUGAAAUUGAGUAGCUGUCGAUGAAUUAAGUUAGAUUUAUAUUUUUUUAAAGUUAAUUUUUAGGAAAACUUAACAUUCCAUAGCUAAUGAAGUUUCUUGAUAAGUAUUUUAGUGAUUGAAAAUAUUUUCAAAGAAAAGAAAUGCUCUGUUGCUAGAGAUCUGCAUAUGUAUUCAUUUGAUGUUAGUUCCUCAUCUUAAAAGUAUUUGAUUUAUAGCUAGUAGAAAUAUUUUUAAAACAGAGACUUAGAACUAGAGAAGUACUGGUCAUAGGGACAAAGUUGUGUUAGCAUGUGUUUCAAACAGCACAGUGUCUACCAUGUACUGGUCAUAGGGACAAAGUUGUGUUAGCAUGUGUUUCAAACAGCACAGUGUCUACCAUGUACUGCAAAGCAUGUUUGUCAAGCAUUGAUCACAUGACUGGCUAGCCAAUGAUAAAUUAGCACAGCAACUAGCUCUUGUUUGGUACUGACUGCUUUUGCUUAUUUAACAUAUGCAUUCUUUGACCCUCUUGACAGCAUCCACUCAUAUCUUCUGGAACAGAUUCCAUCAAAUUAAAAUUCAGUUAAAGCCCAUACAAGUUUGGUUUAAACAAUGCUAAGGUCAUCCAAUGAGAUGGUUACUUUAGCUUUUCAUUAUGCAUUCAACUUUUGUUUUUAGAAAAACUUUCUUUUUUAACUAAGCAUACAUUUUUAAAAAAAAUUUUUAUCCAUGCUAAUGCUACAUAUCAACUGAAGCUAUUGGGAACAGAAGCUGAAGUAGUAUCAAAAAAAGCUUCAUCAUCUUGCUUUUUGUAGUUGCUGUUUUUUUAUAUUACAUAUUUACCCCCAUUAGUGAUACUAAAUUCUGGUCCCAAUUUUUAUUUGCUUGAUUGUAUUGUACAUAUGAGUAACUUCUAAUUGGGUGUAGUAUCUUUGUUCUUUCCUGUGGACCCCGUCAUGUGAAAUUUAAGAAAAUAAAGGGAUAUACAUAUUUUAUUUGGCUUAUUAAUAAAUACUUUGUCAUUUUCUUCAAACCAAUAAACUUGGCGAUAGUUGUUGAUAUGUUGUUUCUAUGGCUUUUUUUUAUCCUUUCUUCUAUGCUUGCUUUGAAUAUACUUGCAUGUUACUCCAUUGCGCUCUUGAUUACAAAAAUUAAGUGUCUUUUUAGUGCCUACACUACAAGCAAUCACACAAAUAUUUCCAUCUUUACAGAAAAAUAUAUCACUUUUGUAAUACCAAUGUGUUCUUUUCCAAGACAACUUCUUCAAGUUUUGUUUAGCCAUGUAAAAUACAACUGACAGCACAGCUUGAGUCUGUUAGCCUCAAGUGCUUCACCUUUAGCACUCUGGUUUGGUAGUACUGGCUUUUUCUGACUAGAGUUAGAACUCAAUAAUCUUACAGCUUUAUUAUUACUAGCAUAGCCUAUUUCAUUCCUAAUUAAGUUUGAUGAUUUUAAACCUUGUAACUUGCUUACAAAAUUUUUUUUUCAUUCUGUUAGCUCAAGUUUGACAACCUUCUAAACUCUCUUCACCAUGACUCAACAAAAAUUGACUGUCUGACCAACAAUUUGUACUCAACAAAAAUAAAUUGACUGUCUGACCAACAAUUUGUACUCAACAAAAAUAAAUUGACUGUCUGACCAAAAAUUUGUACUCAACAACACUUACCUGACCAAACACCUACCCAUUUUUACUGACUGUCCCAUAAAGUUGGGAAACUGGCAGAAGCAAGAACCUGAAUGACCUGUGGUUCUAUCUGACCUUUUCCAGCUGACCAGAGGGUGCAGCACUGCCAUUAUGCCACACACUGACUGAACAGUGACCUUUCACAUUAUACCACACACUGACUGAACAGGGAAGUAGUUUCACAUUAUUCCACACUAUGACUGAAUAGUGACCUACCUUUCACAAUAUUCCAGCUUGCUUACACGUAUGCUGCUUGCUAGUGUUUAAUGCCUAUUUUAAACAUUUUUUUUUCCUUUUGCGCAUAGGAUAAAUCACUUGUCACUACGCAAUUAAGUUUUGUUUAUUUCUUAAAACAAACUACCCUUUUUCAAAAUGGUGCUGAGGUUAAUGGCUCAAGAGAAACCAUUAGUCCUUUUCAUAUAUUUUUAUCUUUUUUUUUUUUUUUUACCAUACCUAACCCAAUGAAAGCAUAUUAUGUUUAUAUAAUAUAUAUUUGAUAUAUGAUCUCCAAACUUUGAACUUACAAUUGAACUAGUAAAAAAGUAUUGAGUAGUGUUCCUACAGUUAAAUGUCCUGCUCCCAGUUCCUUGGAUCGGUGUGGCUUUGCCAUGCAAUAUGUUCAACAGACAUUUUUACAAGACAAAAAUCUUUUAGUAUUGUGAUUUAUUAUUUAUCAAAAUACACGUCAAGCCAUGUCAUGUUAUAUAAAGUCAUGUCAUGUUAUAUUUUUGUUAAGCCCUCCCCAGAAUCUUUCAAAAAGUAUUGUUGAUGAGUACUACAUCAGUCUUAGGUGAGAGACUAGCCAAACACAUUACACAAACACUAGCACUACACAUAACACAUCUGAAACCAUUCAAAAUGGCAGAUGUUUUUGAAGGCAUUUAUUUUUGGGGAAUGGGGACCAACCAGUAACUGGUGGAAUGUCUGUUUUACCCAUUUGUCUGAAUCUGCAGACAUUUAAAUACAACAUUAAUUGAUACCAUUGGUAUAGAGAUUGCUAGGAUCAAACUUACCUUUGAACUUUUUCUAAUUUUGACCAUUGAAGAAAUAAUACAACAAUGAUGUGAUAACGACCUGUCAAACAUCUGUUUUCUUUCAACAUAAAUACAUACUGUCUGUCAUAUUUUUCAUAUUGUUAUUUACAGGAAGGUCCUUCACACAUUUUAUUUUUCUUUUUCUGUGUAAUAAACAUUUGUUAUGAAUUUGAA